GGGGAAUAUUGGACAAUGGACGAAAGUCUGAUCCAGCAAUACCGCGUGAAUGAUGAAGGCCUUAGGGUUGUAAAGUUCUUUUAGUAGGGAAGAUAAUGACGGUACCUACAGAAAAAGCCCCGGCUAACUCCGUGCCAGCAGCCGCGGUAAGACGGAGGGGGCUAGCGUUGUUCGGAAUUACUGGGCGUAAAGAGCGCGUAGGCGGCUUUGCAAGUUGGAAGUGAAAGCCCGGGGCUUAACCUCGGAAUUGCUUUCAAAACUGUGAGGCUAGAGUGUAGUAGGGGAUGAUGGAAUUCCUAGUGUAGAGGUGAAAUUCUUAGAUAUUAGGAGGAACACCGGUGGCGAAGGCGGUCAUCUGGGCUACAACUGACGCUGAGGUGCGAAAGCGUGGGGAGCAAAC
rnacentral:rRNA from 1 species